AUGACCGGUCCGACGAUCAAGCUCCCCGAAGACCUCCUUGUCGAGGUCAUCUCCCGCGUGCCGUACAAGUCCACCUGCUGCUGCAAGUGCGUCUCCACACGCUGGCGGGACCUCAUCUCCUACCCCGACCACCGCAAAAUAUUUCCCCGGUCGACCCUUGCGGCUUCUUCUACACAACCCUCGCCACGGACGACCAUCCAGAUCUUUCUCAUGGUUACCAAAGCGUCUCUGGAAACUGGUGCCCUCAUGACGCCUCCCUCUCGUUCCUGCCCAAAUACGAGAGCCUUCAAAUCUUGGAUUGCUGCAACGGCCUCCCCUCCUCCUCCGCCGAGCCCGGAAGUCGACUGA
rnacentral:rRNA from 1 species